GGACUACCGGGGUAUCUAAUCCUGUUUGCUCCCCACGCUUUCGCGUCUCAGCGUCAGCAACGGUCCAGAGGGCCGCCUUCGCCGCCGGUGUUCCUCCUGAUAUCUACGCAUUUCACCGCUACACCAGGAAUUCCACCCUCCUCUACCGCGCUCCAGCUGGCUAGUUUCCGCCGCACUUCCGGGGCUGAGCCCCGGGCUUUCACAGCAGACUUGACCAACCGCCUACACGCCCUUUACGCCCAGUCAAUCCGAACAACGCUUGCACCCUCCGUCUUACCGCGGCUGCUGGCAC
rnacentral:rRNA from 1 species